UCGGGGCCUGCAGGGCGCGCGCUGAGCGCCGGCGAGCGGCUCGCGGAGGCUCGGGCAGCAGGAGGAGCGUGUGAGCUGUGGGCGUCCCUUUAAGAGCGGCCGGCCGACCCGGCCUCCGCCUCUCAGUCCGCUGAGCGCCGGCGGUCACCUGGGGCUCGCGGGGCAGCCGGAUCGCGGCGGGGCCGGCGCGCUCGCCGCGGAGGUGGGAGACAGGGCCCUGACUCCAGGUGCCGGCAGCCGUCUUGGUGCGUGGCCGUCCCGCGCCUCUCCGCGCCGGAGGAUGCGGGAGCGCAUCUGGGCGCCGCCGCCGCUGCCGCUGCUGCUGCUGCUGCUGCUCCCGCCGCCGCUGUGGGGCGGCCCCCCGGACAGCCCGCGCCCGGAGCCGCCGCGCGAGCCCGGGCCUCUGCAGCCCUUCGACCUGCUCUACGCUAGCGGCGUGGCCGCCUACUACAGCGAGGACUACGAGCAAGCGGUGCGCGACUUGGAAGCGGCGCUGCGCAGCCACCGGCGCCUGCGGGAGGUCCGCGCGCGCUGCGCCCGCCACUGCGCCGCGCGCCGCCGGCUCGCGCCCCCCGGCGCCAGCCCCGCGGCCGAGCUGCCUUUCUUCCGCGCGCUGCUGGAGCGGGCGCGCUGCUACCGCAGCUGCCAGACUCAGCGCCUCGGGGGCCCCGCGUCCCGCCACCGCGUCAGCGAGGAUGUGCGCAGCGACUUCCAGCGCAGAGUGCCCUACAACUACCUGCAGCGGGCCUACAUCAAGCUUAACCAGCUGGAAAAGGCAGUGGAAGCAGCCCACACGUUUUUCAUGGCCAACCCCGAGCACAUGGAAAUGCAGCAGAACAUCGAGAAUUACAGAACGAUGGCUGGUGUUGAAGCACUCCACUUGGUAGAUCUAGAAGCCAAACCGCAUCUGGAGAGUUACAGUGCAGGAGUUAAACAUUAUGAGGCUGAUGACUUUGAGCUUGCUAUCGAGUACUUUGAGCAAGCUCUCAGAGAAUAUUUCAGUGAAGAUACGGAGUGCAGAGCCCUGUGUGAGGGGCCUCAUAGAUUUGAAGAGUAUGAGUACUUAGGGUACAAAGCUGGUCUCUAUGAAGCCAUUGCAGAUCACUAUAUGCAGGUGCUGGUCUGUCAGCACGAAUGUGUGAGGGAGCUUGCAACUCGCCCUGGCCGCCUCUCUCCGAUUGAGAACUUUCUUCCCCUGCAUUAUGACUACCUACAGUUUGCCUACUAUCGAGUUGGUGAAUAUGUGAAAGCCUUGGAGUGUGCCAAGGCCUAUCUUCUCCUCCAUCCAGAUGAUGAGGAUGUCCUAGACAACAUGGAUUACUAUGAGAGUCUCCUGGAUGAUACCAGUGACCCAGCAUCCAUUGAGGCCAGAGAGGAUUUGGCAAUGUUCGUGAAGCGUCAUAAAAUGGAAUCAGAACUAAUAAAAUCAGCUGCAGAGGGUCUGGGAUUUUCAUACAUGGAACCGAAUUAUUGGAUCCGAUAUGGAGGACGACAGGAUGAGAAUCGGGUCCCUUCAGGAGUGAACGUGGAAGGGGCAGAAGUUCAUGGACUGUCAAUGGGGAAAAAGUCAUCACCCAAGAUAGAUCGAGACUUAAGAGAGGGUGGCCCUCUGCUCUAUGAGAACAUCACAUUUGUCUAUAACUCGGAGCAGCUGAACGGGACUCAGCGGGUUCUCCUGGAUAACGUCCUGUCGGAAGAACAGUGCCGGGAGCUCCACAGCGUGGCCAGUGGAAUCAUGCUUGUUGGUGAUGGAUACAGAGGAAAAACUUCACCCCAUACACCCAAUGAGAAGUUUGAAGGUGCAACCGUCCUGAAAGCACUCAAAUUUGGUUACGAAGGCCGAGUCCCACUGAAGAGUGCCCGGCUGUUUUAUGACAUCAGCGAGAAGGCUCGAAAGAUUGUAGAAUCCUAUUUCAUGCUGAACUCAACCCUGUAUUUUUCCUAUACACACAUGGUCUGCCGAACUGCUCUGUCUGGUCAGCAGGAUAGAAGAACUGACCUCAGUCACCCCAUCCAUGCCGACAACUGCCUGUUGGAUCCUGAGGCCAACGAAUGCUGGAAGGAGCCUCCUGCUUACACGUUCCGGGACUAUAGUGCUCUCCUGUAUAUGAAUGAUGACUUUGAAGGAGGAGAGUUCAUUUUCACUGAGAUGGAUGCCAAGACUGUGACCGCCUCUAUCAAACCAAAGUGUGGGCGUAUGAUCAGCUUCUCGUCUGGAGGAGAGAACCCGCAUGGAGUGAAGGCGGUAACCAAGGGCCAGAGGUGUGCCGUAGCUUUGUGGUUUACCUUGGACCCGCUUUAUAGAGAACUGGAGCGAAUACAGGCCGAUGAAGUGAUCGCCAUCCUGGAUCAGGAACAGCAAGGGAAGCAUGAACUCAAUAUCAACCCCAAAGAUGAGCUAUAAAGAUGAGGGAAAGAAAAGUUCUAUCAGAUAUUUAUUUAAAUUGUUAAUCUUAUGAGAACCCUUUUAUUUUUGUACAGAGCCACGGUAUAAAUUAACAGGUUAAUCCAAGUCGCCAGAUCCCCCUUCCGUUCCUGAGGAUGCUCGCUUUGCCUCCCUCAGCCUGUCCGUCUUGGUUUCUCAUCAGGUCGUCUCUCCCCUUCCCCUCCGUGCACAGUCACGCACGCACGCGUGCAUGUCGUUUGCUGCAGAUCUGAGAGCUCAAGCAGAAAGAAUAAGUUCAUUCUUGGUGGAACUACACUUCUCUUGCAUGCUCCAGUUCUAAAGUUAGCAUGUGAUUUGGACUCAGAAGUCUUUCUGGCCCCGUGCCCUUCAGCAACACCCUCUCCCAGUGUGGGGGGGCCAUGAGCUGGAGUUCCAGGAUCCCCCGGCAGGGUCUGCACUGCCUCGCGUGUCCCUGGAUCCAGUUGGAAGAACGCUGCAGGAGAUGGAGGGGCCCAGCCUCGCCAGGGCCUUGGUGGACUUCCUGGCCCUGGGAUUUUCACCUGAGGACAAAUUUACACUGGAAGCUUCGAUUCCUCCUCCACAGUGCUCCAGAAAGGGCUGCCUGAAGACUUGUGUCUUUAAAAAAAGGUUGUUCAAGGGGUUGAAGUAGAAAGACUCUUCACCCCAGUGCCUUUGGAAGAAAAUCUUCAAUCCCACAUGACUCAGAGCAUCACCGACACGUUGCCUGAGCGUGGGGCCCAUUGAUGGGUAGGGGCAUUUUGUAAGAAAAAUGGAUUUUGGACCGAUUCCCAUCCUCAGCUACAUGUAUUUUGUUCCGCCCUCAUCUUGGCUGCUGUCCAGUUUACAGAUUCGUGCUUGGGUCUGAUUGUUUAAUACAGGGAGCCUGAUCCUGACAUCUGGCAUUUAUUUUUCUUCUCCCAAACGUUUGGUGUAUCCUCAAGUAAUGGUUUUGUGACUUCGGGGCAGCCCAGGGACAGCACUGGGCUCUGACUUGUUUGGCUGGCAGAUGCUUCAGGGCCACAAGGAAAGUGGAAACACUGCUUUUGAAGGCACGGAAAUGGUUAGCAGAGGUGUUCGUCCAGAGAACGUGUGGUCCUUGGCCAGAAUUCUAAGGAAGCCCUGCAGAGACAUUAUUUGGGGUGGGGCUGGGGUUGUUCUAGCCUUGGGAAGCCUGCUAACCGGUGGGAGAUUACUUGCCUCUGUGAGGGGCUCUAGUAGGGGUGGUAGUUCUUAAGAAAACCAGCAGAUCUAAACAUCCUCUGAAAAAUCACAUUUAUUGGUUGCCAUUUAUGAUCUUGGUUGAUGGUUAAGCACAUUCAUCCUUUGAGACUGAAAAAUUGAGUCACAGUGAGUUAUGUGAUUUCCAUCUGAUUUCCACUCAACCUUCAGCUGGGAGAAGGGAAGGAGCAUUAGGCUGUAAUCCCAGCUGGAUCCAGUAUGCCCUGCUGUGUGACCUGGAGCUACUGUCUCUCCCUUUCUGGGUUUCAGUUUCCUUAUCUGAAAAUGACAUAACAGGUUAAAUUGCUCCCAAAGGCCCUUCCGCCUCUUGCUUUAAAUACAACACAAACAAUGAACCAUGGAACACUACAUCAAAAACUAAUGAUGUACUCUAGGGUGACUAACAUAACAUAAUAAAAUAAAAUAAAACUUAAAAAGAAAGAAAGAAUAAAUAACAACGCAAAGCAAAUCAAAGGCAAAAACAAAGCCGAUUUUAGAAAUAGGCACCGAUACAACCACAUUUACUUCUGCAAACAUUUUGAGACUUGUGAAUGGGUUUCCUACGUGUCUCUGUGAUUUUUAAAACUUUAGCCCAAUUUUAGGGCUGAAACUCCCUGAGCUUUGAAAAGGUAGAUCUCUGUUUGCCGUCUCACCGAGAAGUGUUUGCUGGCACGCAGAUUUGCUGAUAGGAGAAUCCGGGCAAGAUCUAAUUUCUGUUUUCUGGCAACGAGGAGUCAACAAAGAAAACAGGCUUUGGCUCCGUGUACUCCCGCGUCCUGGGUGCCGUGGGAGCUCCGGCAGAGGCAGGGACCCGGGCACAGAUGUGGAGAUUCUGCCCCACGGAAAGUGGGUGACAGCCUCCGGAGCUGUGCCGCGGGUCCACAUCUUGUGCCAUGUGCUGAUUGCACAGAGCAGUGAUUCCUGUUUUUCAGGUUGUCCGUCCUGUUGUACCCCUGGGACAGCGUGUAUCCACUAGAGCAUUUACCUUUUAAUCUGCUCCCCAUCAAACCAUACAUAAUCGUAUUCAGAUAGUUAGGGAGUGUCUGCGGAGGACUUGAGACCAAUCUGAGCCAGGGCUGCUGAGGGGAGUUAUGUGAGAAGGCCCGACCAGGGGCGUGGGGGGCGUGGGGGCACUGAGGUCCUGGCCCAGGGUGGCGGCCGCUAGAGGAAAGGCUGCCCUUUUCGAUUUGGCCAAAGAAGGUGCUUGCUCCCCAGUCUCUGGACCCGGAGGGCUGUGUCUAUACAGAAAGGGUGCAUGUUUCUGAUUCACUCAGCAGCGCUGUGUGCUAGAGACAGCCCCGGCUGAAAGGCCCACUUUCUAGGACCUCAAGCCCAGGCCUCUUCAGCUCAGCUGCACUUGGGAAACUACCACUUGUCUGAUGACCGUUGGGUGAAAAGCCUGCAGUCUCACAAAGCUUUGACUUUCACCCUCUUACUGCGCUGGGUGCUUAUAACACAGAGCAUGCUCCCACGCUAGUACUCGGGGAGUUGUUCUGGGUACAGAUCCUGAGGCCCACUUUCCAGAUGAGGAAAUGGACAGCAGGGAAGGGAGGUUGGAGCCUGUGAUCACUCAGCUUAGAAUGUCUGUGUGUGAGCUAGGAGCACAGCCUUUUGAAGAGGACGGAGAAAAACAAUACCAGGGUUGUUUGCUCCCUUGGCCAUGCUUUCAGGCAUAUUAAAUAUAAAAUGAUACAAUAAUGUGAAGAGAAAACUACGAUUUUUAUAAAAUCUGAACUUUUGCUCCUCUCUCAUCUUCCUGCUGAGUGAUAUGUGAAGGCAUAUUUCCCCUUCUCUCCUCAGAGCUGUAUUGAAUACAGGUUGUGUAAUUCAAUGAGCUCAGCCCCACUUUCGAAAAAAUACCAUGUGCCAGAGGCUUUCUGCCUUCAUGAAGCUCACAAAAGGAAAGAGGGUUCUAGUCAGGUGUCUUUUUCCUCUUCCUUCAAAGCAGAAAGAAUCUUGAGCACAAAUUUCUUCUUGAGGAAACACUGACACGAGACAGAGUGAUAUUCUUGGAUAUGUGAGGUGCUUUCUUCAGAGCCCUGAUUAUAGAUUAUUUGACAAGAAAUUUUAGCUUUAGUGCAGCCUCAUCAUUACUGGGCACAUAGCACUUUUUGGCGCUUAUUCAGCUGAGGAGAAGCCACGGAAUGAGUCACUACGAUUUAAUAAUAUAUACCUGUGAGUUUUAAUUGAAGUACAAAUGCUGAAUUAUUUCACGUAAGACAGCCACAGGGAACAGCUCCCUCACUGACGUCAAGGAAGGAGGUAAUGGGGGCCACCUCACCAAUUCCUUAUGCCAAAUAAUGAAACACUCCAAGGUGACUGACAGUGGUAUGGCUGAGAAGUGGGGAAAAGUUGAACUGUUCCCACAUCCAGAACUCCUCAGGGAAACAGGAAUCAUUUGGCAAAAACUCCAAACCACAAGUUAAAUUCGGGCCCUUGGUCACGAUCCCUCUCCUCCUCCUGCCAAGAAGCCUGCGAUGUGAAGUGACCUCCCCACCUAGUCCCACAGCCCACCCGCAAAUCCCCUACUCCCGGAUAAUUUGAUGUUUCCAACAUGAGACAUAGAGCUGUUUUGUUUGGGACCUGGUCGAUUUCUUCAGACACAUUGAGACACGUAACCUCAACCACUCUUUGAGCUCACUGCUGGGCUGGAGCUGCAGACUCAUGCUGUCGGACCUUCCCCCUUACCUCCUAUCCCCGGGAAAAUCACCAUGUUCUCUGUACCCCCUGCUGACCUCUGAGACCAAACAACACCAAGUCUGGAACAAUCUGAUCAUCGAGCUUGGCUUGCUCUUCAAUGGGUGGGCAUCCGCCAUGUAAAAAAUUGGCAUGACGAGUCACCUCUGCCUGCAAAAACCUGGUUAAGGGCUCACAAGAAAAAUAACCAAACAGGAUGUUCCUGCCCUCUCUUUCCCUGCCACACAUUGUUAGGAGGAAAAUCUGAAUGCUCCUUUCAUUCGAUAUACAACACACCUUUUCUAGCCACUUGAUAUGAUGUACCUGAGAGGGGACGAAAGGUGACAAGGGCAGAGUUUGAGAGCCUUUCCACUUUAUGGGUCCUCCUCAGUCAUCUGUUCUGGAAGGGCCACCCACCUGCUUUCUUCAUGCCAGUCUCCACUUCAGCAGUGAAUUGGGUGUCAUCCAUCUAUCUGGGAACUCUUGCCCUUGGCCCCUCUUGUCAGAUUUAGGGGCUUUCCCUUCCUGAUGGCAGUGUGAUGGCAGAGGCUUUGGAAUCCCUAGCCAGCUUGUAGCUAAACCCUGCCUUCUUCUCCCACAUUGACGUGUCUACCGCUGAAUUACUAGCUGAUGGUAGGCGGGGAUAGAAAUGAGAACCAGGGAAGAGGCAUUACCUGCUAUGUCUCAUCUUUUUCCACUUGUAAAUCAUACAUCCCAUUGUUUCAAAGGGUUGUAAUCAUGGUUGGCAUUUAUAAAGCCUUUUUAUGGUCUCGAAGCACUUAGCAAUCAUAUGUAACUACACAAUUAUCUUGAGAGACACAUCAGAGCAACCUUCUUUUUGUGAACAGGGCAAAUGAACAGUCGCUGCGGAGGGUUAUGGCGAAGCUCUAGUCACUCAUGAAUUCAUUAAUCAGACAGUUUUUGAGUGGCUACUCCACAGUGGGUUUAAGGGGGUAUUCAAAAACGACUAAGAUUCCAGCCCUUUGAGGAAUUCAAAGUAAAGUAGAAAAAGAAAUACAUACGAACAAAUGAAACAAUACAAAAUGAGGUGAGUGAGUGCUGUGAUAAAGGGUUAUAAUAGAAGCAGGGACCGAAAGAAGGCCAUGUGAAGGGAGAGACAAGGGAGUGCUUGCAGAGAGGGAAAGCCUCACAGAAAAGGCGAUAUUUCGGCUGGGUCUUGAGUGCGCGCUCGGCCACCGGUAAGCAGAAGUGAGUCAUGUGACCUCUCAUUCCCCCACAGUGGCCUCCACCGAAAAGUAUGGGAUUUGACCUGGGUGAUUUCUGGGGUUCUGAAACGUUAGGCUGUCAGAGAGGAGUUCAUAUAAAAGUUGGUGUUCCGGAGGGGGGCGGAAUGAGAUCUUUACUGCGGAUCGGCCUGGGAAAGCACUUUAAUGAAUGCUGUGAAAAUCCAAAUAAAUACCAGUUUAAGUUUUAUUUUAUUUCCUUAUGAGGAGGUAUAUUUAAGUGGGUGGGGCGAAGCUGCCAAGGACCAUGAUUCUUACUGAAAAGCAGAGGAGCCGUGAGUGUCAGGGGAAGCAGAAGUGAACUGCAUCCUUCGGGGGGCUCUUCCGGUGGCCUAGCCCUCUGCCUGCAAGUCCCAGAAACUUCCUAACUCGCAUGCCCUGGAGGCAGUCCACGCUCUCAAAUUCUUCACCUUCCAUCUCAGAAAUGGGAAUAAUGAGCAUAUCCCAGUCCACCUUAGGAUAGUCAGGUGCGUUGUCUGAAAAGCCUAAAGCAUUUGGUAAAAUCAGUCAAGCUUUUAGCAAAACCGGAAAUUUAUGCAAUAUUUUUAGUGAGGACAUCUCUUCCAAUGUCGGACAGGGAACAGGGUUUCAGAGGCUUUGGGAAUCCUUGGAAGCAAGCAAUCUCCCAACAGGAGUUAAUGAGGCCCAUUUGCCUCAUUUCAAACCAAAGGGCUGAUAGGACAUCAUGUUGUAAGUCUCCAGUCACACUUACUCUGUUUGGUCCAUGUACCUGUUUUUGGUUUGUUCAACUUUUAAAAUGUCUUUGAAAGUCUUAGGCAAUUACAUUGCUCAGAUUCAGAAUAAAUUAUAGAGCCCCGAGUCUUAGAAGCCAACUUCAAGGCUUCCGGUCACCAGAGUAAGAUCCUGGGCUCUCGUGAUCCUCCAACGUUCAGCAACGUUUACUGAACAGAUAUCAGUAUUUCUACUCGAUUUGAAGUUCAGAGUUUCAAGACCUGUUAUUCUCACAAGAUAAUACGAAUUAGAAGUACACUGCUUUGCAGUGAAUAUUGGUAAGUGAAUGAGGCCUGUUUAGCUUUUUUUCCCCUCAGUGUCCAAAAUAAAGUUAUAACAACGUUUUUUAGCAAAUUGGGUUCUGAGUAGUCAUGAUUUGAAAUGUGUCCUGCUUUUAGCUACUUAGUACAAGUGAAGGACAGGCUUGAAGGCAUUGUUGGCCCUCCCUUGACUGGGCAGGGUCAAGAUUCCCAGAAGAAUGUCCACUUUCCUUCAUUGUUUAUAGCAUGGUGGUAACUAAGUGUUUGGCCACCUUCCAGUAGACAAGGUCGUGAUUCACAUACAGGGAAAAAGAAGCCCGGAGUAGAUGAAUACUUGCCUUAAGUCAAAGUCACAGUAGAUGUGAGUUUCUUGAGUGGAAACUAAGUGGUUGGACUCUCUCAGGACACUCUGCAGUCCUGACCAUUUAUUUUAGGAAUCGCUAGGAGGCAAGAGGAACUCAUAUGGACCUACGUGACCCCAGGACUCACCACCCUUCACAUCCCAGUGGAAAUCUAGAAGGAAGCUACUGUCUUCAGCAAGAUGGUUGCUACCCUGACUCUGAGUGUGCCAGGUAUGAUUAUGGCUCUGUUCAAACAUGCUCUGGUUCCUUCCAGGGAGCACUUUGAGCCUCCUCUGAACUUCCAGGCCGCAGGGCUGAGCACAAGGUACAGAUUUUUCUUGCAGACAUUUGGCAUCUGUGUAAUGAUUUUUGUCUCUAAGGGUAAUAAAAGUACAUCAGAUGUUGCUCCCUGUACCAUGAACUUGGCUUUGAAGCGCCAGUGAGCCACUUCAAAGGCUCGACACCAUAUGGAGCUUCUGUUUCUGGGGACUCCACUCUGUCGAGGUGUGCCCGUCGACCUGGGACACAGUGCCUACCAAGGCACCUACCACUAAAGACCCGUUGUCAAAUAUGUCAAAGGUGACAAAUUGGCAUACUGAAAGCUUCAAACCACGCAGCCUUCAGAAUCAGCAUAGAAUAUACAUCAUGCUUUGAAUGCUGUGGGGGAAAAAAUGCAUCAUUUACAUGGAGAAUGAUUUACAAAUUAAAUGAAAAGAGAUCGGAGUGGCCUUCAGAGCUCAGCAUAGGGUGCUUUUGGUCAUUGUUUGUCUGAAGUCCACACUGACCUGUUCAGAGCUGUUUAGACUAGAAAGAUGAAGCCAGUGGUGGAAGCUUAAGGGAGAAUCACAGACAAAAUUAAGUUCUUUAUUUAUAAUUCAGCAAAUCAAGGCCACUGCAAACAGCAGACUCCAAGUUGGAAGGGGUUUGGAGAGCAUCAGGUCCAACAUCCCUUAUAUAAUUUAGAGUUGGGGACACGGAGGCCCAGAGAAGAAAUUUAUUUACCCAACUUUCUACACAAGUUACUGGUAGAAUCUGGACUUAAACCCGGGUCACCCGACUCCUGGUCCAGAGCUCCAUCAUGGAGUCAGGGUAGAGCAGCAAGGAAAAGUGCAGGCUUUGUGCCACCCAGACAUGGAAUAUUUGCAGCCUUUUCCCAGCUCUCUGAUUACGGACACGUUUCUUUUCCCCUCAUAUUCAAUGUCUUUGUCUGUAAAAGAGCAAGUAAUACUUAUCUGUGCGUUAUCCGAAGAUUUAAUUGAGCCAGUAGGAGGAAAAUGUCAAACACCUCCCAGGCAAUCAUUAAAAAGCAAUUGUUAUUUUUACUACAUGAGGACACGUAAAAAGAAGAAAAACAAACAGGACUAUGAUUUCUCCAGCAAUGCUUUUUCAGCUCUCAUGAUUUUUUUUUUUUUUAAUGCAUUCUCCCAUGGAGCAUCUUGGAAUCUUCAAAGUUAAUUUUCAUACAGUUAGACUUAAAAAUGAUCUCUGGCCACAAACAACACACUUCAUGCUGGGGCAGGGGCACAGGAGAAGGGAAACUUGUUCUAUAAAAUUGAAAAGGUGUUUUGUUUCCAAAUUGGUUGCCAAGCACCAGCCUAGAAGGAGAUCCUGGCCUUCCUGCAGCCACCUCGUCGGGCCCUUCUGACUUCCUCGCCUCUCUGCACUGGGACAUUUCAGUGGCUUUUCUGAGCCAACACUUUGGAAAGCACAUUUUUUCCCCCUAUUCCUUUUCCUAAACAUUCUCUCACUUUCUUUCCCAUGGUGUAGAAAGCACAGAAUCAAAGCUUAGCAGCAGAUGGCACUAUCAGCAUACUUUGCAGUAAGGGGUGAAAAGAGAUGCAUUCGUUCAUUCAUUCGUUCAUUCAUUCAUUUUGACAAGUUUCGACUUAACGUCGAAUGUGUGUUCAACCUUGAGAGGGUCACUAAACAGAAGAGGUGGUACUUACAGGGCAGGUGGGAAGAGGUAUGCUCUGGGAGGAUCCUCAGGGGACCUGUGUGAACGCCGAGGAUGUAUGUUCUGGUGGUUUUGGGAGACAGCAAGAUUGGGGCAGGCUUAAACAGCAAGGGAGGAAUUUUUGAGGGAGUUGGUCUAGAGCUGUUCCUUUAAAGGAUGAGUAGAAUAUGGAAUGGCGAAAAUGCAAAGCAGGAACGUAAAAUGGACUGUAAAAGCAAGGAGUCAUCCGCUGCUGUGGCCAUCAACACUAUAUCCCUGGCAGGUCUGACCUCCUUCGCUUUGCAUGAGCCUCGUGUCGCACGUGGGUGGCCACUCUCACAACCAUGAUCUCAUUGGGCCCUUACUGCUAUCCUCUGACUUCAGCUUUACCCCUAUGAUGAUCCGAAUUUGAUGAAUAAGAAAAUUGAGGCCCUCAGAGGAAAAGUGACUUGCUUAGGGUCACACAUGCAGUGUGUGGUAGUGCUGGGAUCCAAACCUUGAUCUCAUCCCAGCUCAUGCAGCAGGAGACCAAGGCUCUUGUGACCCAGGCCGUUACAGCGAAGAGAGCUUGGGAUGCAGAGUAAUAGGAUCAGUUUCAGCUGUCAGGCUGGCUUCAGGUUACCGAGGGCCUGAGCUAGACUAGACUGCGGUCUUGGGGCUGAUCCUGUAAAUCUCAGGGAGGAUUCUGAGGUUUGGGGAAGCUAGAGAUGGGUGUUAGAUGCUGCAGCUGCAUACGAGGGAUUGAACGAAAAGGGACAGGAAUCGGGGAGACCCAAGAAGAAGAUGUUACAGAAAUUAAGGCCAGGGGUGGGGAGUAGAUGGGAGUGCUCUGCUCCAGCGGGGAGGAGAUUUUAUGAUUGUCAUUAAUUCCUGGCAUGUAGAAAGGAAACAAAGCCGACUGACUUUUAAAAUGACUGGUUUUAAGUUUCCUAUAGACGGGGCGCCUGGGUGGCUCAUUCAGUUAAGUGUCUGCCUUUGGCUCUGGUCCGAAUCCCAGGGUCCUGGGAUUAACCUGGGUCGGGCUCUCUGCUCAGCGGGGAGCCUGCUUCGCCCUCUCUCUCCCACUCGUGUUCUCGCACACACUUCUCUCUCUCUCUCAAAUAAAUAAAAUCUUUAAAUAAAUAAAUAAAUUCCCUAUAGACAACACGUCCCCUUAUUGCCUGCACCCGGAGAGGUCUAAUCUCAUUACCCUCCACCACACCCACACCCACAAUCCUCCAUGAUACACACACACACACACACACACACACACACACACACACACACCUUAGUCCAUUACUGCCAAGGCACAACAUGAGGACAGCCUGAAUCCGGCAGGCAGCAGUGGGACAAAAGGGUAAAAGAUUAAGGAGAGACAUGUUGAAGAAAAAGAAAUAAGGACUUGGUGGCUGACAGUCACCAAGGAAAGAAGAUUAAAAUCAUGAGUCUGAGAUUUUGAGCCUAGGAAAACAAUGUCAGUGAUUCAAAUAGAGAAAAAAGGGGGUUAAAAUAAACCGGUUCCAUAGAGAAGAUGACCUGAUGGGACAUGAGGACUCCCAGUCGCUGCUGAACACUCAGCUGGAAUACAGACUUAUUUCCUACUCUGGUUAUGGAUUUCUUGCUCUUCACUUGUGAUUAAAAACUUAUAAACGAUGGUUGGCUUUUUGUUUUUUUUUUUUAUAGCUCUUUUACAAGUAAGAAAAUGAGAGAGAGAGAGAACUACCAAAUUAUUAGUGUUACCACUCCUUAUUUAAACCCCUUCCGCUGACAUCAAAACAACUGCGGAGUGAAGGCACUGGACUCAGUCUUUAAGGACAUUACAGGCAGUGGUAUUUUCCACCAGUCAAUGCUAGGGAAGAAGCAGAAUCCAAAGUUCUUAUUAAACUGUGCUUGAAAGCUAGAAAACAUUAACAGGCAAAGAGAAGCACUGUGCAAGUUACAAUUGAGGAAAAAAAUACAAUACAUACAAGAGACCUGAGGAUUCCAUAGGUGAGGAAAUACAAAGAGAGCAGAUGAUUGAGCUGAGCUGACACAGACAGUUCAUUACGGGGCCAGCGUUGAGCCUCAGCCCAGGGAUAAAUUGUUCCAGCAGCCUGGAAAAUGACACCAAGGGCGGGCCAAUCCCCAUCAGAUUACAAAGCCCUGCACUGAUACAAUUUGUGAUUAGAACACCGCUUGCAAAUCUUUCCUCCAGAUGGCCCCCAGAGUGGGUGGAUUCUCAAAUUAGUCAUAUGAGAACGGAGGGUUUAACAGAAGGGAGAUUCUAGGAGGUUCUAGGCCGUUCCAUCGGGAAAUGAAUGCAUCAGCCCUUCAGAAAUGGGAAGUAAUUCAGGACAUUUUUGUGCCUUUUGCCACGCUAUCUCUGGUGGGAGAAACAAGUCAGCCACCAUCUCGGAGAGGGUACUUGGAAGGAGGGUGGAAGGCCCUGGAUUAGUCCCUUUAAAGGAGACACUUAAGGUGCUGGAGACAUUUAAGGUGCUGCAGCCACCACACCCUGCGUGUGGGGGACCGGACCGGUUAUUCAGCUCUCCUGCGCAGCUGCUGGGUGGCUACAAACCUGAGCCCAGGAAGGAGAGGAAAGAAGAGGCAGAGAGGAACCGAACUUCUGCCAGCCCAGUGUCACAUCAAAGAAUUCCACCCAGAUCCCCACAGGUGCAGAAACCUGAGAGCCAUCACCAGGCAGAUAGUGCUGUCUCUGGUAAUUGGGUUGACAUCAUCUAGCAGCCUUAGAGGAUUUGAAUCCCUUCCAUGACUCCUGCUACCUCCCACCUGGUGGUGAAAACCUCAUGCUGGAAGCUGGGUGAUAUGCAAAAGCAAAUGCAAGGAAACUACAAGGUCACACUCCUCAAGGGAGAGUCCUCUUGUGUUCUGGCCCAGAUACAUAAGGGGAAAAGAGAACCAAGGCCCCAGCUGCCUACAAGUGGGUGCAAAGAGGAAGCCAAAGAUGGUCAUAGAAAUAUAUACUCAUGGGGGGAUGCCUGGGUGGCUCAGUCGUUAAGCAUCUGCCUUCGGCUCAGGUCAUGAUCCCAGGGUCCUGGGAUCGAGCCCUGCAUCGGGCUCCCUGCUCAGCUGGAAACCUGCUUCUCCCUCUCCUGCCCCCCCCCCGCUUGUGUUCCCUCUCUCUCUCUCUCUCUCUCUGUGUCAAAUAAAUAAAUAAAGUUAAAAAAAAAAAAAGAAAUAUAUACUCAUGGGAUUAGAAAGCUUCUUAAUAGUCAGUCCACCCCACGACCAAGGCUUGAAUCUUCAGAAUGAAUCAUCCCCAACCCCAACCAGACUGAAAGAUGCUCUGUUCCUGAAUGAGCCUUAGUCUCCCUCACUUCCCAGAUCUUUCUACAUAUAAUUUCCUCAGCCUACAAUACCCUUCCUCUUCCCCAGCUGCUUCUUGGGCCCAUCUCCUUCUUGUCCUCCAAGCCUCAUUUCAGAAAAUAUUUAGGUAAGGGACUACAGUACAUGUCCUUAGAAAUGUUUCUGUAGCCACUAGGACUUCACCUGUGAAACAUUCACUACACUGCUUUCGUGUCUGUCUCCCUCCCUGGACUGGGAGUUGCAUUAAGACAGGGACUGACUCUAUUAUGGUGAUCCAGCAGGGCCUCCAACUGGACAUAACACAGCAAAGGCAUUAAAAAAUGUGAAUGAAUGAAUGAAUGCCUACAUCUUGAGCGUGAUAAAGUAUUUGUAUUCAGAAUCUCAUAUUAUCAUUGCAUCAUGCUUGUGAAGAAAAAAAGACUUGUUAGGUUUAUAAGAAGUAAUAUGUUGGGGCGCCUGAGUGGCUCAGUCGUUAAGUGUCUGCCUUCGGCUCGGGUCAUGAUCUCAGGGUCCUGGGAUCGAGCCCCACAUCGGGCUCCCUGCUCAGCGGGAAGCCUGCUUCUCCCUCUCCCACUCCCCCUGCUUGUGUUCCCUCUCUCGCUGUGUCUCUCUCUGUCAAAUAAAU